rnacentral:rRNA from 1 species
CCUACGUGAGGCUGCAGUAGGGAAUCUUCCACAAUGGGCGAAAGCCUGAUGGAGCAACGCCGCGUGGGUGAAGAAGGUCUUCGGAUCGUAAAACCCUGUUGUUAGAGAAGAAAGUGCGUGAGAGUAACUGUUCACGUUUCGACGGUAUCUAACCAGAAAGCCACGGCUAACUACGUGCCAGCAGCCGCGGUAAUACGUAGGAGGCAAGCGUUAUCCGGAUUUAUUGGGCGUAAAGGGAACGCAGGCGGUCUUUUAAGUCUGAUGUGAAAGCCUUCGGCUUAACCGGAGUAGUGCAUUGGAAACUGGGAGACUUGAGUGCAGAAGAGGAGAGUGGAACUCCAUGUGUAGCGGUGAAAUGCGUAGAUAUAUGGAAGAACACCAGUGGCGAAAGCGGCUCUCUGGUCUGUAACUGACGCUGAGGUUCGAAAGCGUGGGUAGCAAACAGGAUUAGAUACCCCAGUAGUC